rnacentral:rRNA from 1 species
UUGCGGUUAAAAAGCUCGUAGUUGGAGUUCUGCCAGGUGACGCUCGUCCGCCCAAGUGGUGUGUACAGGGCGUGCAUCUGGCCCUUUCAAGGGGAACGUGUUGCACAUUAUUGUGUGGCGCGAGAUCCUUGACUUUUACUUUGAGGAAAUAAGAGUGUUCCAAGCAGGCUCUCGUCGUGCAUAGCUCAGCAUGGAAUAAUAGCAUUGGACUUCGUUUCUACGCUGUUGGUUGCAAGAAGCGAGGUAAUGAUGAAGAGGGAUAGUUGGGGGCAUUCGUAUUUAACUGCCAGAGGUGAAAUUCUUGGAUUUGUCAAAGACGGACUACUGCGAAAGCAUCUGCCAUGGAUGUUUUCAUUGAUCAAGAACGAAAGUUAGGGGAUCGAAGACGAUCAGAUACCGUCCUAGUCUUAACUAUAAACCAUGCCGGCUAGAGAUCGGAGGUCGUUCAAUUUGUGACACCUUCAGCACCUUGAGAGAAAUCAAAGCCUUUGGGUUCCGGGGGGAGUAUGGUCGCAAGGCUGAAACUUAAAGGAAUUGACGGAAGGGCACCACCAGGAGUGGAGCCUGCGGCUUAAUUUGACUCAACAC